CAACUACUCCCUCCGUCCGGAAAUACUUGUCGCAGAAAUGGAUAAAAAUGAAUGUAUUUAGAACUAAAAUAUGUCUAGAUACAUCCAUUUCUCCGACAAGUAUUUCCAGGCGGAGGGAGUAUUAU
rfam:Triticum urartu cultivar G1812 contig203527, whole genome shotgun sequence.